rnacentral:rRNA from 1 species
GGGCGAUACUUUGUGUGAAAUGCAGAAUCCCGUGAACCAUCGAGUUUUUGAACGCAAGUUGCGCCCGAAGCCUUUGGGCCGAGGGCACGUCUGCCUGGGUGUCACACAACGUCGCCCCCCACCCCCGUCCGCCCCAAAGUGGGCGUGGGGCAAAAGAGGGGGCGGAGUAUGGCCUCCCGUCGGCCCUGCCCACGGUUGGCCGAAAUAUUUGUCCCCGGCGUACGGCACUGCGACGAUCGGUGGUUGAACAUGCCCUUAUGAUUCGUCGCGUGCCUCGUCGAGCGGGACGAUCGAGACCCUUGCGCGUCUGCGGACGCCUACUGACGCGACCCCAGGUCAGGCGGGACCACCCGCUGAGUUUAAGCAUAUCAAUAAGCGGAGGAAAAGAAACUUACCAGGAUUCCCUUAGUAACGGCGAGCGAACCGGGAAAAGCCCAGCUUGAGAAUCGGGCGCCCCCGGCGUCCGAAUUGUAGUCUGAAAAAAAGAGACUG